GCGUCUGUAGCUCAGCAGGUAGAGCACUCCCCUUUUAAGGGAUAGGUCGCGCGUUCGAAUCGCGCCAGACGCACCA
rnacentral:tRNA from 1 species